GCCAGGUGUGAUGGUGUACAUCUGUAGUCCCAGCUAUUUGGGAGGCUGAAGUCAGAGAAUUGCUUGAGCCCAGGAGUUCCAGACCAGCAUGGGCAACAUAACAAGACGUCAUCUCAA
rnacentral:sRNA from 1 species